AGUCAUAGGGCAUGAGGCAGUGCACACUGUGGACAGGAUGCCCGUCUAUUACAGGCCAUAACAUAAAUUGUGUUUAAUUUGUGAAAAACUGAAAAUCAUUAGAGAUAAAAACAAAAAAAUGAGGAAAAAUGACGUUGGGGUACUUGUAUAUCUUUAUUUUCUGCUGUGAUUUUCCAAACACUGUCACUUAAUUUCAGGACCCAGUCAGGUGGUUUACUCCCAUGCUGCUGUGGUUUGACACUGCCACCAGCUAAACAGGUGUAGGAGGAAAUGUGAUGUACAUCUGUCCUUUGGUGUGCACCGCGAGGGCUUCUCCAUUCUUUGUCUCAUCUGUCGCCAGCUCAAGGAAGCAUUCAGCUACCUUGCUCACACUGAAAAAUUAAUGAGCAGAGUAAACAUAUCAAUUAAGCCAACAAACCCUUUCAUGCAUUUACUCAAUAGUUUAGAUUUUAUAUCUGAGACUUUCUACAGCUGGGAUUGGAGUUUUAUAACAGGAUCUUUCAAAAAUU